rnacentral:rRNA from 1 species
UGAAUUGAAGAGUUUGAUCAUGGCUCAGAUUGAACGCUGGCGGCAGGCUUAACACAUGCAAGUCGAACGGUAACAUAAAGAAGCUUGCUUCUUUGAUGACGAGUGGCGGACGGGUGAGUAAUGCUUGGGAAUCUAGCUUAUGGAGGGGGAUAACUACGGGAAACUGUAGCUAAUACCGCGUAGUAUCGGAAGAUGAAAGUGUGGGACCUUCGGGCCACAUGCCAUAGGAUGAGCCCAAGUGGGAUUAGGUAGUUGGUGAGGUAAAGGCUCACCAAGCCGACGAUCUCUAGCUGGUCUGAGAGGA